UUGCGCGCUGGGGGCGUGGCACUCCGCUCCCGCCAUUACUCCGUGCCGGUUUUUGCGGGAGGCCGGCGGCGUGGGUCUUUGGAAUUGGAAUAGCCAAUGUAAUCAGACACUUCAACUUGCGGGGCUCCGGGCGAGUAGAUUAAUUUACCCCUUAACGCCGAGUUCCUUUUCACUGUCUGUGGACCUUAAAAAAGCGAGCGGCGGCGGCAGGCGCCCGGGAGAGCAAGCGGCCGGCCGUGCGAGCAGCUAUCGGGCCACAAAACAAGCAAGCAGCGCCCGCGAAGCGCGCUGACCCUAGCCACCGCCGGUGAAGAGCCAGAGCCGGAGUCGAAGCCGAGUACAUCUCCGCGCUCUCGCGGCGCUCCUCCCGGCUCCAGCCUGCCCUACACGACGGUGGCGGCGGCGCGUCCUUCUGCGGUGGCAGUGGUGCUCGCAGCGCCGGUCCUUGUUGAAUUCCCUGCGGGCCAGGGCAAUUGGUGCCUAACAUCGGGCAUUUGAGUCAGGGGUCUGAUCAAACAUUGUUGCUCUUCCAUGGACAUCCCUCAAUCAUAGGAUCACCGCUUCCCCGUGAACUCAAGAGAAGAUCCCCAUUGUGAUCGCAACAGAGUCGCCCACCUGUGAGACUGAUCCCGUUUAAGGAUAUGAUGAUGAGACACCCACGGUGUUUGCUCUUGAAAAGCUUGACCCUGGCACUGGUCUGGACAUCCAUAGGAGCAAGUAAUGAUAAUCCCCAUCAGCCCCUCAACCUAACCUGGCAAGUGAUUAAUGGAGAAGGAAAGGUCGUGUGGAGCACCUCAAAGGUCACAUACCCUAAAACCUGGUGGCCUAGCCUUUAUCCUGAUCUCUGCAAACUGGCUGUAGGUGCCCCUGCUAAUUGGGACCUUCAGGGGUAUUCAAACUUUCAAAGGGCUCCAUCGUCGCCCUCUCCCCUCGGCAGACAUGGCCUUGAUCCUUGGGGCGGAUGUGGCACUAAAGACAGAAGGAGCAUGUUAAGAGUACUUACCUUCUAUGUCUGUCCCGGUUAUCACCGCAACCUAUCUUUGAACCCAAAGUGUGGGGGUAAAAACGAAUUUUUCUGCAAAAGUUGGGGGUGUGAAACGACAGGCGACACCUAUUGGCAUCCCUCCUCCUCCUGGGACUUAAUCACGGUCGCUGCCAAUUAUACACAUCAUAAAACAGGAAGUCAAGGAAACCCAGGUUGGACUAACAUUCCAGAUUGUUCAGACUGGUGUCACCCACUUCAUAUCCAAUUUACAGACCAAGGAAAAAAGAAUAGUAAAUGGACCAGUGGCCACUCUUGGGGUCUAAGGCUUUACAAGGAGCGCUUUGAUGACGGCCUACUAUUUACCAUAAAGCUGCUGAUGCAGCCGCCUGGGGUUGGUGAGCUGGUGGUGCCUAUUGGACCAAACCGUGUCUUGAAUUCCUUGUCCCCACAAAAACAGCCCUUUAAUCCUGCUUACCCCACUGCUCCCUUUCCUCCUGAUGAUAUUUAAACCUGAUAUGUGGGGCCGUGGGCUGUGAGAGGCAGCUGGGUACCUAGUCAAACUUGCUUGGAAUCCUCGAGACCCUAAAGGUAGGUGUUUGGCCUUGCUCCUGGGCCCUGGUUCCUUUCACAUAGCAACAGCCUCUAAAGCCACUUUCACAGAGAGGUUUGUGGCCAUCUAUCACGUAGCACAGGUAGAGGGCAUGGCUACAGGCUGCAGAGCCUCAAGACAUCUCUACAUUCAUGAGAUACUUAAAAGUCAGAAGGCAUUGCCAAUUAAGCAUUCCUUCCAGACCCUCCUUCUUGCAAAAGGUAUUUAACCUCAGGCCGGCUAUGAGAACAUGGGAUAUAGCUUCCUCUAUUUCCUGCCAUGACAAUAAACAUUUUAAGACCAUGGACUACCUCUCGUCUUUGGGACCCGCCUUGGGGAACUGUGGAGGUCUAACCUCCCUCUGGCAACCUACGUUCGAGCCACGGAGGCCAACUCAAGCAAGCUAGCCAAGCCAGCUGUGAUCCAGCCAAGAGUCUCCUCCCCUCGGGACACCGCCCAGAUCUUCUCCCUCGCCCCUUCAGCUGCGUUGAUCCAGCCUGUACGACCCCUGUUUCGUUCCUUCUGAGGCCUCUCAGCGGUGCCUGAGAGCCCAAGGGCUUGAGACCAGUUGGUCCCCGCCUCCUGUGCUCUGAUUUCAUUUUCAAGUUCUCUGUCCUAGGUUAUUCGGGUUCUCUGAUUUGUUUCAAAAAAAAAGAAAGAGAAAAUAAUCUGAGUAACGUCAGUUUUUGAUUACACAAGUUCUGGAAACUCCUGGCUCGGGAAUGAUCAGUUCCUAUGGGCAAAUUCUUCCUCAAAUUUUUAGUAAAUAUAAAUAAAUAAAUAACAAAUAAAUAAGCCA